rnacentral:rRNA from 1 species
GCCAACGUCCAUACCACGUUGAAAACACCGGUUCUCGUCUGAUCACCGCAGUUAAGCAAAGUCAGGCGCGGUUAGUACUUGGAUGGGUGACCGCCUGGGAACACCGCGUGACUUAGGCU